rnacentral:misc_RNA from 1 species
AUUCAAAUUAGAGAAACGUAAUCGUUCUGUGACGGAAUAACAACAGAUUUUGUCUGCUGCAUUAACACAAACCUACUACUUGUAUCAUUAUAAUACAAGAGGACCUAGUUUCUCUGGAAGCCAAGUCGCCUAUCUAUAUCGAGAUCAAGGUAGCUUAGUACCGAGAAAACAUUGAUGCCUCCAAACGAAACGAUCUUACCUCCCAUUUUUUUCUGUGCAGCAACUAAGAAUUUGAUAGAUGCCACAUUAACAUCAACAAUCAAUACCAUGUCAAGCAACAUGCUUGGAUCUUA